CAGUCGCCACGGUAAAACGUAGGAUGCAAGCGUUAUCCGGAUUUACUGGGCGUAAAGCGCGUGUAGGCGGUUUGGUAAGUUGGAUGUGAAAGCUCCUGGCUUAACUGGGAGAGGUCGUUCAAUACUGCCAAGCUUGAGGAUGGUAGAGGGAGGUGGAAUUCCGAGUGUAGUGGUGAAAUGCGUAGAUAUUCGGAGGAACACCAGUGGCGAAAGCGGCCUCCUGGACCAUUUCUGACGCUCAGACGCGAAAGCUAGGGUAGCAAACGGGAUUAGAUACCCGCGUAGUCCCUGUCUCUUAUAA
rnacentral:rRNA from 1 species